rnacentral:rRNA from 14 species
GCCCACAGCCAUACCAUCUUGAACACCCCUGAUCUCAGAAACUAAGCAGAGUCAGCCCUGGUUAGUACUUAGAUGGGGAAAAUGGUGUUCUAUGAAAAAAAAAAGCUGCCAGUU